rnacentral:tRNA from 1 species
GACCCGUUAGCUCAAUUCGGUAGAGCAGUUGACUCUUAAUCAAUUGGUUGGAGGUUCGAGUCCUCUACGGGUCA